GGUUGUGUGGUGUAAUGGUUAGCACAUCAGACUUUGAAUCUGGGGAUCGGGGUUCAAUUCCCCGCACGACCU